rnacentral:RNase_P_RNA from 1 species
AGUAGGUCAGACAAUCGCGGGCGGCUUUCGGGCCGCGUGAGGAAAGUCCGGGCUCCACAGAGCAAGGGUGCCGGCUAACGGCCGGUGAGGGCGACCUUAAGGACAGUGCAACAGAAAAUUUAUGCCGUAUUCGUGCGGCGAUUGUGAAAAUGUGCGGUAAGAGCGCACAGGGAGCCGGGUGACCGACCUCCCGUGUAAACCCCACCCGGAGCAACAUCGGACAGCGCAGUUAAGCUUGCUCGGCAUUGCGCAGCGCGAUGGCUUGAGCUGUGCAGCAAUGCACAGCCACAGAUAGAUGAUUGUCAAAUACAGAACCCGGCUUACAGACCUGCUCCU